UAAAAGAUAAGCUAAUAAAGCUAUUGGGUUCAUACCCCACAUAUGAAAGUAAAAUCCUUCUCUUUUAA
rnacentral:tRNA from 2 species